GGCAGCUUUCUUCUGCUCCAAUUCCUCAAGAGCACGACGAGCCUCGAGGGCCUUAAGCUCUUGUUCCUUGAAGGGCCAAUCAUUGGGGAUUCCUGGGUCCUUCUCCACCUUAGUCUUUUUGUUAAUACCCAACUUUUUGGCCUCCUUUGCCUUUUUCUUGUGAUGCUCUUUUACCUUCCUUAUAAUCUUGUGCUUCUGCUUCAAUGAUACCCUCUUGCUCUUACUCUUCUUGCUUUUCUUCACCAUUUU
rnacentral:misc_RNA from 1 species